rnacentral:rRNA from 1 species
CCUACGGGUGGCAGCAGUGAGGAAUAUUGGUCAAUGGCCGGAAGUCUGAACCAGCCAAGUCGCGUGAGGGACGACUGCCCUACGGGUUGUAAACCUCUUUUAUAAGGGAAGAAUAAAUGCUACGUGUAGCAUGAUGCCUGUGCCUUAUGAGUAAGCAUCGGCUAACUCCGUGCGCGCAGCGGCGGUAAUACGGAGGAUGCGAGGGUUAUCGGGAUUUAUUGGGUUAAAGGGGUGCGUAGGCGGCUUUUUAGGUUAGUGGUUAAACGUCGGGGCUUCACCUGGAUUUGCCAUUAAAACUGUAGGACUUGAGUUCAGACAGGGAAGGCGGAAUAAGUGAUGUAGCGGUGAAAUGCUUAGAUAUAACUAAGAACUCCGAUAGCGAAGGCAGCUGACCGGACUGCGACUGACGCUGAAGCACGAGAGCGUGGGUAGCGAACAGGAUUAGAUACCCCAGUAGUC